CUUCUUUCAUUUCCUAUGCUUUAAACAGCGUUAUCGUUAGGAAACCGUAUUUGUACCACUUGCUUCUUUAAAAGUGACCUGGUUGAAAGGAAGACUAUAUACAUAAAGAGAAUCGAAAUCCGAAAGGGAUAUAUCAUUAUAUAUUUGAAAAUUUUGAAAAGUUGCUUUAAGGAUAAAGACCAUAAAUAUUGAAUUAAUGACUGCUUAAGCGAACUUUAAAUAAGGUUGAUAUAACCGAAUGCUGUAAUUAAAAACAUUCGAAACAUCCUCAUUUAUUUACGAUUUCGAAUUCUCUAGUUUUCAUCAUUUGAAAAUAUCCUUUUGUUACAGUUGGACUACUUUUAUUUACUCGAUCUUUUUGAUAGUUUAAUUAUGACUUGCGACUUAUGAUACCAAAUUUAGAUUCUUUUUGUGUGUUACACGAAUAUUAUUAUGUUUCAAGGUCAGUGGCUUAACAAAAACAAAAUUGCAAUUUGGAAACGAAAACAACCAAUUUCCAGUCUUUCACAAUAAGUGUAAAAUGCGCUACCUUCACAAUUUCACAUGGUUUAAUCUUCUGACAAAUGGAGUUUAUAUAUUUCAUAUCCGUCCAGGCGAAUGAAAAUGAAUAUGAAAAAUUUUUGAAAAUUAAAUCAUCUAAGUUAAUCGUUGUAUUAUAGGAAUAUGAUUUAUUACAUCACAACUUAAAAAUUAGAUACUAAAUAUUUUGGUAUACAUGCC